UACGUAGGUGGCAAGCGUUGUUCGGAAUCACUGGGCGUAAAGGGCGUCUAGGCGGUUUGGUAAGUGGGAUGUGAAAUGCCCGGGCUCACCCCGGGACCUGCAUCCCAAACUGCUGAGCUUGAGUACAGGAGAGGGUGGGGGAAUUCCAGGUGUAGCGGUGAAAUGCGUAGAUAUCUGGAGGAACACCGGUGGCGAAGGCGCCCACCUGGCCUGCUACUGACGCUGAAGCUCGAAAGCUAGGGGAGCAAACGGG
rnacentral:rRNA from 1 species